GUCCAAUAUUCUCUUCUGGAGUAAUCACCUGCAGCUACCCUUCUUAGAUAGAAUGACCCAGAAGAUCAUGGGGCAUCUAAGCUUCUAGGAGGAUGUGAAGUUGUCCAUCUUCAGCAGUCUGGUUGAAGCUGGAGGAUAGAAUGACCCAGAAUAUCGUGGGGUGUCUAAGCUUCAAGGAGGAUGUGAAGUUGCACGUCUUGCAACUUGUGACUUGCACCUGGUGGGCAGCUGUUGCUAGCCAAUGGCUCGACGAGCAUACCGGUUCCCACUUAUUUAAUUACUACAGGGCUCCCGAUGGAGUACCUGCUUAGCAGGUCCCAUUCUUGAUCCUCAGCACUGCGAAGAAAACACAGAAGAGAAAUAAAGGCUGCUGCGUAGUUUUGGAUCAGACAGAAAACAAAGGAAGGAACACCAGGAUGCAAUGAUGAUUUAAUUUGCAACAGAAUCGCCCGUUUUCCCUUUGAUUCCCACUUGGAUGUAACACUGGUACUGCAAAGCAUCCCUGAGGCCUUUCUCGCUGUGCCAAGAUGCACAUCUUCUGACAGAGCCAUGGCCUGAGGCUGCAAAGAUGGUGCUGGGGCCACGUGAAAACUGUCAGCCUGAGGGAGGAGCAGAUAGCUCCAGGCCCAAGACUGGGCUUGUUUGCUUUCCUCGUGGAUAGCGGGAUGCUAAGUAUGUAGUUAACGGUCCCUUCACCUCCACUCCCAGCAGUGGUCUGGAGAAGGAGCAAGACUCAAAUUAUGCUACUCUGGACCAGACUUUCUCCAAGGCAGGGCCUGUGCCUUGGUGUUCCUGGGGGUCUUGCUCGAUGCCUGACUGUGACUGCAUGUCAAGGAGUCAAUGUUUAAAAGACAGCAAGAUGUGAGCUGCUUAUGUACAUAGGAGGAAGAAGGGCUCCUGACUUUCUGUCUCCGACUGUUUUUGUGAAAAUAUUAUGAGAAGAGUGUUUCAGCUCCCAGGUUUGGAACCCACAGGCCAAACUUUCUUUAUUUUCUCUUUCUUUCUUUCCUUCUUUCUUUCCUUCCUUCUUUCUUUCUUUCUUUCUUUCUUUCUUCCUUCCUUCCUUCCUUCCUUCCUUCCUUCCUUCCUUCCUUUCUUUCUUUUUUUAAUUACAUUUGAAAGAUGAUUUUAUUAAAGUCAUUGCACUUGGUCAUUUUAUUGCUACAGCACAAGGCCUUUCAAUUGUAACACUUCUCAAUUCUGAUUGUAAAUAUUGUCUCAUUCUGCUCAUACAUUUAAAGUUUAAAUGCAAGCAUAAAACAUUCAUAAAAAAAUCUACAGAGCACUUCGGAACGCAUUUCUUGCCUGUGAUCACAGUUAGGAGUGUAAGGAGUCCUCUGUUAAGACCGGGCCCACUCUCUUUGCAUCUUCUGAUUUUCUGUGAAGUCCUGUACAGUUGUAUAGAGCUAAUACCUUUAUAGUAAGAAGCAAGCUUAGUGGUCACAAACACACCAAAAUAACAUUGGAAUCCUGCUAGAAUCUUAGGAGUACUGUGUUUCAAAGACCAGCAAAUCUGAACUAUACAUUCACUAAUAAUUUGGCAAUGACAGAUUCAAUGCUGUCUUUUAUACUAAUAUUGGGGAGAGAGGGAUUUACCUCUAAGUAAAGUUGUUAUUAAUCAUUUUCUGACUUUAACUUUAGAAAUAGUAAAAGUUCCCAUAUCAAGGGCAAAUACUGGCAAACUACUCUUUUAAAGGAAUUAUUUUUCCCUUUAAGUUCAAGCUUGUUUGUUUUUUUCUGAACUAUUUUGUAAAGGGCAUAAAAUAGACAUAUAGAAAACAGACAGUAUGACUUCUCUACUCUGACUGAGAUGGCAAAAGUGUGUAGAGAUGACUCAUGGCUACUCUGAUUGUGUGGACUAAAAAUACCCACCGCCACCAAAGGAACGCUGCUUCCUUUCCUGUGGAUAUAGGGCCCCUAUGCAGCACAGGCUGGCCUCAAACUCAUGGUUUCUCUCCCCAAAUCUCCAAGUUUCAGGCAUGUCAUCACUACACGUGGCUCAAACGAACCUUUAAAUAGCAUACGAGCAUUAAACUACAUGUGCUCCUGGAGCUGAGAUCACCGGUCAGGUUAGUGACACAGUGGGUCAGGAAGGAGCCAAACUGCAAAGGAAAACUUAGUAUACAAUAAGGGGUUGUGCUUCUGUUUUUCUUACUUGUGUUUAUAACACAUAAAUUCAUUUUUCUGUUAGUUAUCUGCUUUUCUAAUUUCUUACAUUUUAACUAGUAUCUAUGGGUUACACAUUUGUCCAGAAAGCAUAGUCACUCCCCUACUGUUGACUGUGUAUGUUACUUUUUACUGUUAUUACACCUUUCCCUCCCAGCAGUGUGGGUGGAGACAAACCUCCCUUUGGGAAUGCAGGAGAUCAUUUCUAGAAUGUGGGGAAAGCAGGAGAUGAUACUUAGGGUAAGGCCACUGUCAUCUGAGGACUGUCAUUACAUUAAUAAGAAGCAAAUACUUCAUUUGACUAAUUACUUAAAAAUAAAAUGGAGAAGUUUGGUCAUCACUAACCUCUCAUUAGAUGAGCUCAGACUUGAAAUGGUUAAAAAGGCUAGGCACACUGGGCAUGCCUGUCAUCCUAGCACUUGGAAGGCAGAGGCAGGGAAACCGGAAGUUUAAGACAAUUUUUGCUAUAUCACAAGGUUAAGUCCAGCCUGGGAUAUAAGUUCCUGUGUCAAAACACCUACAAUGUACACUCUAUGUACAAUUAGCUCUCCCCAGAAUCUAAUCAAGUGUAACCUUGUGCUGGCAUUCUAUUAUUUUCUACUUCAGCUCUAUUUUACUUGAAGUAACACAAGAAAUCUGACUUUAAAUUUUUUUCUAUUUUAAGAUUAAAAUGUAAAGAAAAUGUAUUUGUUUUUUUUUUAAGCAUGAUAAUUUACAAUCGGACAUUCAUUUUCUAAAGUAAAGCUUAAAGCCUAACUUUUUUUUUAACAAAUAAAAACAUUUCACUUUUUAAAAUUAACCUUUGUGUUUUUAAACAUGUCGCCCUACAGAUACAACAUUUUUAUGUUCACUUGGUCUGUAGCCAUACCGCCCUGAUAGUGGCUGGGCCAGUCUAAGAUGUUCAACUGUUGAUUGUGAUGCUAAAUAAAUGGCUCAACAUCCAUUGUG
rnacentral:lncRNA from 1 species